GGGUUGUGAGGUUAAGCGACUAAGCGUACACGGUGGAUGCCCUGGCAGUCAGAGGCGAUGAAGGACGUGCUAAUCUGCGAUAAGCGUCGGUAAGGUGAUAUGAACCGUUAUAACCGGCGAUUUCCGAAUGGGGAAACCCAGUGUGUUUCGACACACUAUCAUUAACUGAAUCCAUAGGUUAAUGAGGCGAACCGGGGGAACUGAAACAUCUAAGUACCCCGAGGAAAAGAAAUCAACCGAGAUUCCCCCAGUAGCGGCGAGCGAACGGGGAGCAGCCCAGAGCCUGAAUCAGUGUGUGUGUUAGUGGAAGCGUCUGGAAAGGCGCGCGAUACAGGGUGACAGCCCCGUACACAAAAAUGCACAUGCUGUGAGCUCGAUGAGUAGGGCGGGACACGUGGUAUCCUGUCUGAAUAUGGGGGGACCAUCCUCCAAGGCUAAAUACUCCUGACUGACCGAUAGUGAACCAGUACCGUGAGGGAAAGGCGAAAAGAACCCCGGCGAGGGGAGUGAAAAAGAACCUGAAACCGUGUACGUACAAGCAGUGGGAGCACGCUUAGGCGUGUGACUGCGUACCUUUUGUAUAAUGGGUCAGCGACUUAUAUUCUGUAGCAAGGUUAACCGAAUAGGGGAGCCGAAGGGAAACCGAGUCUUAACUGGGCGUUAAGUUGCAGGGUAUAGACCCGAAACCCGGUGAUCUAGCCAUGGGCAGGUUGAAGGUUGGGUAACACUAACUGGAGGACCGAACCGACUAAUGUUGAAAAAUUAGCGGAUGACUUGUGGCUGGGGGUGAAAGGCCAAUCAAACCGGGAGAUAGCUGGUUCUCCCCGAAAGCUAUUUAGGUAGCGCCUCGUGAAUUCAUCUCCGGGGGUAGAGCACUGUUUCGGCAAGGGGGUCAUCCCGACUUACCAACCCGAUGCAAACUGCGAAUACCGGAGAAUGUUAUCACGGGAGACACACGGCGGGUGCUAACGUCCGUCGUGAAGAGGGAAACAACCCAGACCGCCAGCUAAGGUCCCAAAGUCAUGGUUAAGUGGGAAACGAUGUGGGAAGGCCCAGACAGCCAGGAUGUUGGCUUAGAAGCAGCCAUCAUUUAAAGAAAGCGUAAUAGCUCACUGGUCGAGUCGGCCUGCGCGGAAGAUGUAACGGGGCUAAACCAUGCACCGAAGCUGCGGCAGCGACGCUUAUGCGUUGUUGGGUAGGGGAGCGUUCUGUAAGCCUGUGAAGGUGUGCUGUGAGGCAUGCUGGAGGUAUCAGAAGUGCGAAUGCUGACAUAAGUAACGAUAAAGCGGGUGAAAAGCCCGCUCGCCGGAAGACCAAGGGUUCCUGUCCAACGUUAAUCGGGGCAGGGUGAGUCGACCCCUAAGGCGAGGCCGAAAGGCGUAGUCGAUGGGAAACAGGUUAAUAUUCCUGUACUUGGUGUUACUGCGAAGGGGGGACGGAGAAGGCUAUGUUGGCCGGGCGACGGUUGUCCCGGUUUAAGCGUGUAGGCUGGUUUUCCAGGCAAAUCCGGAAAAUCAAGGCUGAGGCGUGAUGACGAGGCACUACGGUGCUGAAGCAACAAAUGCCCUGCUUCCAGGAAAAGCCUCUAAGCAUCAGGUAACAUCAAAUCGUACCCCAAACCGACACAGGUGGUCAGGUAGAGAAUACCAAGGCGCUUGAGAGAACUCGGGUGAAGGAACUAGGCAAAAUGGUGCCGUAACUUCGGGAGAAGGCACGCUGAUAUGUAGGUGAGGUCCCUCGCGGAUGGAGCUGAAAUCAGUCGAAGAUACCAGCUGGCUGCAACUGUUUAUUAAAAACACAGCACUGUGCAAACACGAAAGUGGACGUAUACGGUGUGACGCCUGCCCGGUGCCGGAAGGUUAAUUGAUGGGGUUAGCGCAAGCGAAGCUCUUGAUCGAAGCCCCGGUAAACGGCGGCCGUAACUAUAACGGUCCUAAGGUAGCGAAAUUCCUUGUCGGGUAAGUUCCGACCUGCACGAAUGGCGUAAUGAUGGCCAGGCUGUCUCCACCCGAGACUCAGUGAAAUUGAACUCGCUGUGAAGAUGCAGUGUACCCGCGGCAAGACGGAAAGACCCCGUGAACCUUUACUAUAGCUUGACACUGAACAUUGAGCCUUGAUGUGUAGGAUAGGUGGGAGGCUUAGAAGUGUGGACGCCAGUCUGCAUGGAGCCGACCUUGAAAUACCACCCUUUAAUGUUUGAUGUUCUAACGUUGACCCGUAAUCCGGGUUGCGGACAGUGUCUGGUGGGUAGUUUGACUGGGGCGGUCUCCUCCUAAAGAGUAACGGAGGAGCACGAAGGUUGGCUAAUCCUGGUCGGACAUCAGGAGGUUAGUGCAAUGGCAUAAGCCAGCUUGACUGCGAGCGUGACGGCGCGAGCAGGUGCGAAAGCAGGUCAUAGUGAUCCGGUGGUUCUGAAUGGAAGGGCCAUCGCUCAACGGAUAAAAGGUACUCCGGGGAUAACAGGCUGAUACCGCCCAAGAGUUCAUAUCGACGGCGGUGUUUGGCACCUCGAUGUCGGCUCAUCACAUCCUGGGGCUGAAGUAGGUCCCAAGGGUAUGGCUGUUCGCCAUUUAAAGUGGUACGCGAGCUGGGUUUAGAACGUCGUGAGACAGUUCGGUCCCUAUCUGCCGUGGGCGCUGGAGAACUGAGGGGGGCUGCUCCUAGUACGAGAGGACCGGAGUGGACGCAUCACUGGUGUUCGGGUUGUCAUGCCAAUGGCACUGCCCGGUAGCUAAAUGCGGAAGAGAUAAGUGCUGAAAGCAUCUAAGCACGAAACUUGCCCCGAGAUGAGUUCUCCCUGACCCUUUAAGGGUCCUGAAGGAACGUUGAAGACGACGACGUUGAUAGGCCGGGUGUGUAAGCGCAGCGAUGCGUUGAGCUAACCGGUACUAAUGAACCGUGAGGCUUAACCUUACAACGCCGAAGCUGUU
rnacentral:rRNA from 1 species